UUAUGACCGGUAUGGUCUAUCAGAGGAGGGAGAAGGAACGUGGCUGAACCAGACCAGGAGGGCAGCCUGGACGUAGUCACCACCUGGCCUAUUGGCCAAGUUAUCUAGAGUUUGCAUUAGUUAAGAUUUACUUUAGUUAAGAUUUACUUCCCAUAAUAGAUUAGAUCUAUUAGAUUGGGACUGCUAUUGUAUAAAGAGUGGAACUCGUAUUCAAUGAGAGGUUAGCCUGGGAUUGAGAUAUUCUUAUCUCCCUUGGGCUCCCGGCCCUUGUCUCCUGUUCUCCGUCUCCCUGUUGCGUGAGUUCCCUCGACAACGGCACCUGCACGCCGCCGCCCAGCUCGCCCGCACGCCCCUGUCUCUCCCCCAUACUUCCUCCGAAGCAAGCUCCGGCGUCGUAACAACCUGGUAUCAGAGACCAUGGCUACGACCGGCGUCUCCUCCAGCCCCGUCGAUCCUGCUGCCGGCGCUACUCUUCCCCAAAGCACCGCCACCCUCCCCGCUGCCGACCCCACAAUACCACCUGUAUCUUCCAGCGCCCUGAUUCCCACCCUCGCCAUGCCGCUCACCACCCACACACCGCCCCCACAGCUGGUGUCCAUGCCCAGCGACACCCUGAAUUUCUUCACCAACACCCUGCAAGGGAUCCAAAACCAGCUGUCUGUCCUCAACUUCCAGGUGGGUGAUCUCGCCACGCGUGUGGCUGUCAUCGACGGCCGGGAAUUGGCUUCGGGCCAGCACCUUCCCCAGAUUGCGCUGCCAGGGUUUGGCUCCAUGCCCGCCCUGACUGCGCCCUCCGCGUCGACACCCCAUGUGCCAGCGGCAUCUUCGGCGCCCGCGUCGACACCCCAUGUGCCAGCGGCAUCUUCGGCGCCCGCAGCAACAACAAUGGGUUCCCUGUCCUUUGGCUCGGUGCAGCCGACGUCCGCUGCACUAACAGCGGGGGUGCCAAUCAAUCAGAUCCGCUUCCCGGCUUCACCGUCUCCGAUCCCUUCACUGGAGACAAUCCUGAGGGGCGCACCAGCCAUGUCCUCAGCUCCGAUGGCAUCACCGUCACCACAUGUCAGCGUGUCCCCGGCACCGGAUGGUCACGUCGUCCCCAAGUACCACAAGCUUACGUUUCCCACCUUUGAUGGCAAGGAGGACCCGCUGGGGUGGCUGAACAAGUGUGAACAAUUUUUCAAUGGGCACCAGACGCGCCACACCGACCGAGUCUGGCUUGCAUCUUAUCACCUCACCGGGGUUGCCCAGCAGUGGUACCUCGUCCUUGAGGCUGACUCCGGUCGUCCACAGUGGGAGGAGUUCCGCACGUUGUGCCAUCAACGCUUCGGGCCGCCCCUCAGCACCAACCAUCUCUCAGAUCUCGCGCGCCUACCUUUCACCUCCACGGUGGAUGCCUACAUGGAGGCGUUCCAGGCUCGCGCAGCCCACGCCGGGCGUCUCUCUCCGGGCCAGAAGGCCAAGCUGUUCACUGGAGGCCUGCCCCAUCACAUCCGCGUCGAUGUCGAGCUCCACGACCCGCAGGACCUGCAGCGUGCCAUGUACUUGGCCCGCGCCUAUGAACGCCGGAACACACCGGCGCCCCUUGCCCUGCCGGCACCCCCGCGCCGCCGACCGACCAGCACCACUUCGACGCCGGCUGGCGCGGUGACCCAGGCGGAGAGCUCCUCAUCCUCAGCACCGCCGCGCCUCUUCAAGCGGCUCACCCCAGAUGAGAUGGCCGAGCGCCGAAAGCAAGGCCUUUGCUACAACUGUGAUGAGCCGUACGUCCGUGGCCACAAGUGUGCUCGGCUGUUCUUCCUGGAGGUCACCGAUUAUAUUGUGGAGGAGCCUGAAGAUACGGACAGCGGCAGUACGCAGCCGGCUGAGGACGCGCCCUAUGACACCGACAAGCCCCUGAUCUCCCUGUCCGCGAUCACCGGCAUUCGAGCGCACGAGACGAUGCAGCUCCGCGUACAUGUGGGUCCGCACGAGCUGACUGCGCUGCUGGAUUCGGGAUCCACUCACAACUUCAUCAGCAGCGCCGCAGCCCACCGCGCAGGUCUCCACUUCCAGGACAGCGAGGGGGCUCACGUCACGGUCGCCAACGGUGACCGCGUCCUGUGUCGCGGCCUCGCUCGCGGAGUCAACCUCCAGAUCGGCAUGGAGGUCUUCAAGGUCGAUUGCUACGCCAUUCCGCUGGACUCCUGUGACAUGGUCCUUGGCAUCGCCUGGCUACGCACACUCGGACCCAUCUUGUGGGACUUCGACAACCUGCGCAUGGAGUUCUCUCUACACGGCCGCCGAGUACAAUGGCGCGGCGAAGGGACGCCAUGCUCAGCAGCAGUACCAGCAGCAUCGGCCCCCAACACCCAGAGCCUGCAGAUCUUCUCGGCCAAGGGGACCGAGCCGGCCCUCCUCGAGCGCCUGCUGGACGCAUACGCUGACGUGUUCGCAGAGCCGGACGGGCUGCCACCAGCCCGCGACUGUGACCAUCGGAUCCACCUCAAGCCGGCCACGGAGCCCGUGGCGGUGCGCCCGUACCGCUACCCGCAGCUCCAAAAAGACGAGCUCGAACGCCAGUGCGACGCAAUGCUGCAGCAGGGCACGAUCCGUGCCAGCACCUCCCCGUUCUCAGCACCAGUUCUGCUGGUCAAGAAACAAGAUGGCUCGUGGCGCUUCUGCGUGGACUACCGCGCGCUCAACUCAGCCACCGUGAAGGACAAAUUUCCCAUACCAGUGGUCGAGGAACUUUUGGAUGAACUCCGUGGUGCUCGCUUCUUUACGAAGUUGGAUCUCCGCUCCGGGUACCACCAGAUUCGUGUACAUCCUGAUGACGUGGCCAAAACGGCGUUCCGAACCCACCACGGCCACUUUGAGUUCCUGGUCAUGCCGUUCGGCCUCUCCAACGCGCCGUCGACAUUCCAGGCCCUCAUGAACACGGUGCUGAAGCCCUUUCUUCGCCGAUGCGUGUUGGUGUUCUUCGACGACAUCCUGAUUUACAGCGCCACGUGGACUGAACACCUCCUCCAGCUGCGCGCCGUCCUCGACGUCCUUCGAACCCACAGCCUUCAUCUCAAGAGGUCCAAGUGCUCCUUCGCAGCGACUUCAGUUCACUAUUUGGGCCAUGUGAUUUCUCAUGCAGGGGUCUCCAUGGACGUGUCCAAGGUGGCGGCGGUCCAGUCUUGGCCACAACCGCGUUCAGCCCGUGGUCUUCGAGGCUUCCUCGGCCUCGCGGGAUACUACAGGCGCUUCAUCAAGGACUAUGGCGCUAUUGCGGCGCCGCUGACCAGCCUCCUGCGCAAGAACGCCUUCUUGUGGACAGCCGAGGCUGAGGACGCGUUUUCUGCAUUGAAGCAAGCCCUUUCCGCCGCCCCGGUGCUGCAUCUUCCGGACUUCAACCUCGAGUUCUUCGUCGACUGCGACGCGUCCGGCUCCGGCUUCGGGGCUGUUUUGCAUCAAGGCGAGGGCCCUUUGGCGUUCUUCAGCAGGCCAUUCGCUGUUCGCCACCUGAAGGUUGCUGCAUAUGAGCGCGAGCUGAUCGGUUUGGUCCAGGCAGUGCGGCAUUGGCGGCCGUACCUCUGGGGCCGUUCCUUCAUCGUCCGCACCGAUCACUAUGCGCUCAAGUUCCUGCUAGACCAACGCCUAUCAACGAUCCCGCAGAAUCACUGGAUCAGUAAACUCAUGGGUUAUGAUUUCAGGAUUGAGUUCAGGCCAGGGCGCUUCAAUGUCGUCGCCGACGCGUUAUCAAGGCGGGAUGGCGACGCACCCUUGCUGUCCACGUUGCCGUCGGCUGAGCCGGUACUGGCAGCACUUUCGACACCAACAUUCCAGCUGUUCGACGAGCUCCGCCAAGAGUUUGCUGCCUCCGAUGAGCUUCGGGCAGUCUGCGAAGAAGUGGCUGCGGGCGGCCGCGGCGCGGACUGGGCGCUGCAGGACGGCCUCCUUCUCCACAAGGGGCGGGUCUAUGUUCCAGCCUCUUCCUCGGUCUUCGACGACGUGCUACAGCUCGCGCACACCAACGCACACGAGGGGAUCCAAAAGACGCUGCAGCGACUGCGCACUGAGUUCUUCAUAGAACAUGAUCGCCGCACUGUCCAUGACUACAUUCGGGCCUGUGCAACGUGUCAGCGCAACAAGUCAGAGGCUAUGCACCCGGCUGGUUUGCUGCAGCCCCUACCGGUGCCAUCGAAGGUGUGGGCUGACAUCGCGAUGGACUUCGUCGAGGCGUUACCCAAGGUGCACGGCAAAAGCGUUAUCUUGACAGUGGUGGAUCGCUUCUCCAAGUAUGCCCACUUCAUUCCUCUGGGACAUCCAUACACAGCCUCGUCUGUUGCUCGCGCGUUCUUCCGCGACAUCGUGCGUCUCCAUGGUUUUCCGGACUCCAUUGUAAGUGACCGUGAUCCGGUGUUCACGGGGAAUGUGUGGCGCGAUCUCUUCAAGCAGGCUGGCGUCCAACUUCGCAUGAGUACCGCCUUCCACCCACAGACGGAUGGGCAGUCCGAGGCUGUGAACAAGACGAUUGCAAUGUAUCUCCGCUGCAUCACAGGUGAUCGUCCAAGAGAUUGGCUUGAUUGGCUGCCGUGGGCUGAGUUCUGUUACAACACAUCCUUUCACUCAGCACUGCGUGCCUCUCCUUUCAUGGUGGUGUAUGGACGGCCGCCGCCACCACUGCUGCCAUAUGGUCCCGGGACAGCCCGCACCGAAAUUGUGGAUUCCCUGCUAGCUGACAGGGAUGAGUUUCUGGCAGAGGUUCGUGCUCGUCUUCUCCAAGCCCAGGAACACGCACGCCGCUUCUACGACGCCAAGCACCGACCUCUCGAAUUGGCUGUGGGUGACUGGGUGCUGCUCCGGUUGUUCCGCCACAACCAGUCUGUUGCACCGGGCAGCACCGGCAAGCUGGGCCCCAAGUACGCUGGUCCGUUCCAGAUCUUGGAACGCAUUGGCGAGGUGGCAUAUCGGCUCCAACUUCCUGACGGUGCCCGCAUUCAUGAUGUGUUCCAUGUGGGCGUCCUCAAGCCGUUCCGGGGGCCGCUGCCUGCAGCUGCACCAACAUUGCCUCCGCUGCGUCAUGGUCGGCCCCUUCUUCGUCCACAGCAGGUGCUGCGUUCUCGGCUCAGCCGCGGCGAGUGGCAUGUUCUCGUCCAGUGGGCGAAUCUUCCACCUUCAGAAGCUACUUGGGAGCCGGUGUCAGACUUCCGUGCUGCUUACCCUUCCUUUCAGCUCGAGGACGAGCUGUUUCCGAAGGAGGGGAGAGAUGUUAUGACCGGUAUGGUCUAUCAGAGGAGGGAGAAGGAACGUGGCUGAACCAGACCAGGAGGGCAGCCUGGACGUAGUCACCACCUGGCCUAUUGGCCAAGUUAUCUAGAGUUUGCAUUAGUUAAGAUUUACUUUAGUUAAGAUUUACUUCCCAUAAUAGAUUAGAUCUAUUAGAUUGGGACUGCUAUUGUAUAAAGAGUGGAACUCGUAUUCAAUGAGAGGUUAGCCUGGGAUUGAGAUAUUCUUAUCUCCCUUGGGCUCCCGGCCCUUGUCUCCUGUUCUCCGUCUCCCUGUUGCGUGAGUUCCCUCGACAACGGCACCUGCACGCCGCCGCCCAGCUCGCCCGCACGCCCUUGUCUCUCCCCCAUACUUCCUCCGAAGCAAGCUCCGGCGUCGUAACAACUAGCCACACAAUGCCUAAAUAGGAUCUAUACAUAUG
rnacentral:lncRNA from 1 species